GAUGAACGCUGGCGGCGUGCCUGAUACAUGCAAGUCGAGCGAACAGACGAGGAGCUUGCUCCUCUGACGUUAGCGGCGGACGGGUGAGUAACACGUGGAUAACCUACCUAUAAGACUGGGAUAACUUCGGGAAACCGGAGCUAAUACCGGAUAAUAUAUUGAACCGCAUGGUUCAAUAGUGAAAGACGGUUUUGCUGUCACUUAUAGAUGGAUCCGCGCCGCAUUAGCUAGUUGGUAAGGUAACGGCUUACCAAGGCAACGAUGCGUAGCCGACCUGAGAGGGUGAUCGGCCACACUGGAGCUGAGACACGGUCCAGACUCCUACGGGAGGCAGCAGUAGGGAAUCUUCCGCAAUGGGCGAAAGCCUGACGGAGCAACGCCGCGUGAGUGAUGAAGGUCUUCGGAUCGUAAAACUCUGUUAUUAGGGAAGAACAAAUGUGUAAGUAACUAUGCACGUCUUGACGGUACCUAAUCAGAAAGCCACGGCUAACUACGUG
rnacentral:rRNA from 1 species